rnacentral:rRNA from 1 species
GAGUUUGAUCCUGGCUCAGGAUGAACGCUGGCGGCGUGCUUAACACAUGCAAGUCGAGCGAAGCAUUAAAACCGAUUUCUUCGGAAUGAAGUUUUAAUGACUGAGCGGCGGACGGGUGAGUAACGCGUGGGUGACCUGCCUCAUACAGGGGGAUAACAGACAGAAAUGUCUGCUAAUACCGCAUAAGCGCACAGUGCUGCAUGGCACAGUGUGAAAAACUCCGGUGGUAUGAGAUGGACCCGCGUCUGAUUAGCUAGUUGGUAAGGUAACGGCUUACCAAGGCGACGAUCAGUAGCCGGCCUGAGAGGGUGAACGGCCACAUUGGGACUGAGACACGGCCCAAACUCCUACGGGAGGCAGCAGUGGGGAAUAUUGCACAAUGGGGGAAACCCUGAUGCAGCGACGCCGCGUGAAGGAAGAAGUAUUUCGGUAUGUAAACUUCUAUCAGCAGGGAAGAAAAUGACGGUACCUGACUAAGAAGCCCCGGCU